rnacentral:rRNA from 1 species
CAAGUCUUGACAUCCCUCUGACGUAGGCAGAAAUGCUUAUUCCCUUCGGGGCAGAGGAGACAGGUGGUGCAUGGUUGUCGUCAGCUCGUGUCGUGAGAUGUUGGGUUAAGUCCCGCAACGAGCGCAACCCUUAUUCUUAGUAGCCAGCGAGUAAAGUCGGGCACUCUAGGGAGACUGCCAGGGAUAACCUGGAGGAAGGUGGGGAUGACGUCAAAUCAUCAUGCCCCUUAUGAUUUGGGCUACACACGUGCUACAAUGGCGUAAACAAAGGGAAGCGAAACGGCGACAUGGAGCGAACCCCAAAAAUAACGUCUCAGUUCGGAUUGCAGGCUGCAACCCGCCUGCAUGAAGCCGGAAUCGCUAGUAAUCGCAGAUCAGCAUGCUGCGGUGAAUACGUUCCC